rnacentral:rRNA from 1 species
UACGUAGGGUGCGAGCGUUAAUCGGAAUUACUGGGCGUAAAGCGUGCGCAGGCGGUUUUGUAAGCCAGAUGUGAAAUCCCCGGGCUCAACCUGGGAAUGGCAUUUGGGACUGCAAGGCUGGAGUACGGCAGAGGAGACUGGAAUUCCUGGUGUAGCAGUGAAAUGCGUAGAUAAUCAGGAGGAAUACCGAUGGCGAAGGCAGGUCUCUGGGCUGAUACUGA